rnacentral:rRNA from 1 species
UACGAAGGGGGCGAGCGUUGUUCGGAAUCACUGGGCGUAAAGGGUGCGUAGGCGGGUCUUUAAGUCAGGGGUGAAAUCCUGGAGCUCAACUCCAGAACUGCCUUUGAUACUGAAGAUCUUGAGUUCGGGAGAGGUGAGUGGAAUUCCCAGUGUAGAGGUGAAAUUCGUAGAUAUUGGGAAGAACACCGGUGGCGAAGGCGGCUCACUGGCCCGAUACUGACGCUGAGGCACGAAAGCGUGGGGAGCAAACAGG